ensembl:miRNA dre-mir-221 microRNA 221
AGGUCUGGCCUGCACCUGGCAUACAAUGUAGAUUUCUGUGUUGUUCUGUCUACAGCUACAUUGUCUGCUGGGUUUCAGGCUACCUAUGCAAAACAGCCUU